rnacentral:rRNA from 1 species
AUUGAACGCUGGCGGCAGGCCUAACACAUGCAAGUCGAGCGGAUGAAGGGAGCUUGCUCCUGGAUUCAGCUGCGGACGGGUGAGUAAUGCCUAGGAAUCUGCCUUGUAGUGGGGGAUAACGUCCGGAAACGGGCGCUAAUACCGCAUACGUCCUGAUGGAGAAAGUGGGGGAUCUUCGGACCUCACGCUAUCAGAUGAGCCUAGGUCGGAUUAGCUAGUUGGUGUGGUAAAGGCCUACCAAGGCGACGAUCCGUAACUGGUCUGAGAGGAUGAUCAGUCACACUGGAACUGAGACACGGUCCAGACUCCUACGGGAGGCAGCAGUAGGGAAUAUUGGGCAAUGGGCGAAAGCCUGAUCGAGCAAUGCCGCGUGUGUGAAGAAGGUCUUCGGAUUGUAAAGCACUUUAAGUUGGGAGGAAGGACAGUAAGUUAAUACAUUGCUGUUUUGACGUUACCAACAGAAUAAGCACCGGCUAACUUCGUG